rfam:Caenorhabditis brenneri strain PB2801 C_brenneri-6.0.1_Cont1244.2, whole genome shotgun sequence.
CCAACGGCCCUAUUUUGGGCCACAAUUAUUAUAUAAUCCAAAAAAG